GUGGGGAAUAUUGCACAAUGGGCGAAAGCCUGACGGAGCAAUGCCGCGUGAAGGAUGAAGGCCUAUGGGUUGUAAACUUCUUUUCUCAGAAAAGAAUUAUGACGGUAUCUGAGGAAUAAGCAUCGGCUAACUCUGUGCCAGCAGCCGCGGUAAGACAGAGGAUGCAAGCGUUAUCCGGAAUGAUUGGGCGUAAAGCGUCUGUAGGUUGUUUAAAAAGUAUUCUGUCAAAGAUUAGGGCUUAACCCUAGAUAGGCAGAAUAAACUUUUAAGCUAGAGUUUGGUAGAGGCAGAGGGAAUUCCCGGUGGAGCGGUGAAAUGCGUAGAUAUCGGGAGGAACACCAAAGGCGAAGGCACUCUGCUGGGCCAAUACUAACACUGAGAGACGAAAGCGAGGGGAGCAAAUGGGAUUAGAAACCCUGGUAGUCC
rnacentral:rRNA from 1 species